UACGUAGGGUGCAAGCGUUGUCCGGAAUUAUUGGGCGUAAAGAGCUCGUAGGCGGUCUGUCGCGUCGGAUGUGAAAAUCCAGGGCUCAACCCUGGACCUGCAUUCGAUACGGGCAGACUAGAGUUCGGUAGGGGAGACUGGAAUUCCUGGUGUAGCGGUGAAAUGCGCAGAUAUCAGGAGGAACACCGGUGGCGAAGGCGGGUCUCUGGGCCGAGACUGACGCUGAGGAGCGAAAGCGUGGGGAGCAAACAGG
rnacentral:rRNA from 1 species